AUGCAAGACAUUUUUUUAAGAAUAGUUAUAACAUGGAAAGAAAGUGAUAAUCGCAAACCACGGUUGGGACCUCAUUCUUACUUUCAGCUUUUUACUCUUAGAAGACUAUUUGGCUUGCUCAAAGACACGGAGAUCAGGAAUCAUGUCACUGCCAAAGGAGGUUUGAAAUUUUGCAAGACCAACUUCAAGUAG